GACGAACGCUGGCGGCGUGCCUAAUACAUGCAAGUCGAACGCAGUGGGGACGGGUGAGUAACACGUGGGUAACCUCCCAUCAGAGGGGAUAACACUUGGAAACAGGUGCUAAACCGAUACUGAUGGAUGGACCCGCUGUUCAUUAUCUAGUUGGUGAGGUAACGGCUCACCAAGGCCACGAUGCAUAGCCGCUCGGAGCGGGUGAUCGGCAACCUUGGGACUGGGACACGGACCAGACUCGUACGGGAGGAAGGAGUAGGGAAUCUUCGGCAAUGGGCGAAAGUCUUACCGAGCAAGUCCGCGUGAGUGAAGAAGGUUUUCGGAUCGGAAAACUCUGUUGUUAGAGAAGCGGUAUCUAACUAGAAAGCCACGGCUAACUACGUGCCAGCAGCCGCGGUAAUAC
rnacentral:rRNA from 1 species